CUGGCCUCUGCCCCCCAAGUACCACCAGCUAUUUGCCCAGCUGCACCAGGAAGGCAGAGGAUGCUGCAUUUUCAUCCUACAACCUGGAACCUACAGGCCAGUACUGUUUAUUGUGGGGGGGCUACUUUGCUACUUGUUAUUUGUGGGUGGGUUGCGAGACUAACUUAGGCACUGACCGACAGAAGGUCAGGUGCCUGGUUAGUCUCCCUCCAAAAGGGGAGAUAUGUUACAGACUGCCAUUUGUAACUGUUAUUUUAUUUGACAAAUUGCCCUGCUUCCCUGU